UACGUAGGGUGCAAGCGUUGUCCGGAAUUAUUGGGCGUAAAGAGCUUGUAGGCGGUUUGUCGCGUCUGCUGUGAAAUUUCGGGGCUCAACCCCGAACUUGCAGUGGGUACGGGCAGACUAGAGUGUGGUAGGGGAGACUGGAAUUCCUGGUGUAGCGGUGAAAUGCGUAGAUAUCAAGAGGAACACCUGAGGUGAAGACGGGUUGCUGGGCUGACACUGACGCUGAGGCGCGAAAGCCAGGGGAGCAAACGGG
rnacentral:rRNA from 1 species